rnacentral:rRNA from 1 species
AUUGAACGCUGGCGGCAGGCCUAACACAUGCAAGUCGAACGGUAACAGGAAGACGCUUGCUUCUUUGCUGACGAGUGGCGGACGGGUGAGUAAUGUCUGGGAAACUGCCUGAUGGAGGGGGAUAACUACUGGAAACGGUAGCUAAUACCGCAUAACGUCGCAAGACCGAAGAGGGGGACCUUCGGGCCUCUUGCCAUCGGAUGUGCCCAGAUGGGAUUAGCUAGUAGGUGGGGUAACGGCUCACCUAGGCGACGAUCCCUAGCUGGUCUGAGAGGAUGACCAGCCACACUGGAACUGAGACACGGUCCAGACUCCUACGGGAGGCAGCAGUGGGGAAUAUUGCACAAUGGGCGCAAGCCUGAUGCAGCCAUGCCGCGUGUAUGAAGAAGGCCUUCGGGUUGUAAAGUACUUUCAGCGGGGAGGAAGGGAGUAAAGUUAAUACCUUCGCUCAUUGACGUUACCCGCAGAAGAAGCACCGGCUAACUCCGUG